rnacentral:lncRNA from 1 species
GGGUGCUUAUGGUUUGGUUGGAAUGAAGAGACAAGAAACCAGGAAACAAUUAGGAUACACAAACAUCCAUGAGCAUUUCUCUUGAAAGUUGCUAAGAGAGUAGAUCUUAAAUGUUCUCACCAUAGCGACAACAACAAAAAUGGUAAUUAUGUGAAGUGAAGGGUGGUGGACCCCUGAUCAAGGAGAUCACGGAUACUUCCGAAACAAAUUAGAAUACACCGUAAAGAGUACUCUUCAGCAACAGUAUCAAUGUGUGGCUCACUGGAAAAGAAAAAUGGUUUCAUAUCUGUAAAAUGGGGAUGACAGUACCAACCUCACUCCAUUUGUGGGGAAGAUUGAGAUCAUGGAAUGAAAUCUCUUGGGAAGUUCAUUUCGUAUUUAACUGCAUGUUUCCACAUCCAUCUCCCUCAUUGGACUUGAGCUCAUCUGGGGCAGAACCGAGUCUCACCCAGCUUGGAUUCGUCAUCACAUCACUAUGCCUCCAAGGUCCAGAAGGAGCUGGCUGCUGCCCAUCUUUCUGCUCCAACCACGCUGGUCUUCUCAAGCCAGGAUCAUCUUCCCUCAAAGCCUGGUCACUUUUUACCUCUUCCAGGAAUGCUGUCUUCAUUCAGGUCUCUGCUCCAAUGUCAGCAACUCAGGAAGGGCUUUCCAGAAACUUCCAUCUGAA